GGUUAAGCGACUAAGCGUACACGGUGGAUGCCCUGGCAGUCAGAGGCGAUGAAGGACGUGCUAAUCUGCGAUAAGCGUCGGUAAGGUGAUAUGAACCGUUAUAACCGGCGAUUUCCGAAUGGGGAAACCCAGUGUGAUUCGUCACACUAUCAUUAACUGAAUCCAUAGGUUAAUGAGGCGAACCGGGGGAACUGAAACAUCUAAGUACCCCGAGGAAAAGAAAUCAACCGAGAUUCCCCCAGUAGCGGCGAGCGAACGGGGAGCAGCCCAGAGCCUGAAUCAGUGUGUGUGUUAGUGGAAGCGUCUGGAAAGGCGCGCGAUACAGGGUGACAGCCCCGUACACAAAAAUGCACAUAUUGUGAGCUCGAUGAGUAGGGCGGGACACGUGGUAUCCUGUCUGAAUAUGGGGGGCCCAUCCUCCAAGGCUAAAUACUCCUGACUGACCGAUAGUGAACCAGUACCGUGAGGGAAAGGCGAAAAGAACCCCGGCGAGGGGAGUGAAAAAGAACCUGAAACCGUGUACGUACAAGCAGUGGGAGCACGCUUAGGCGUGUGACUGCGUACCUUUUGUAUAAUGGGUCAGCGACUUAUAUUCUGUAGCAAGGUUAACCGAAUAGGGGAGCCGAAGGGAAACCGAGUCUUAACUGGGCGUUAAGUUGCAGGGUAUAGACCCGAAACCCGGUGAUCUAGCCAUGGGCAGGUUGAAGGUUGGGUAACACUAACUGGAGGACCGAACCGACUAAUGUUGAAAAAUUAGCGGAUGACUUGUGGCUGGGGGUGAAAGGCCAAUCAAACCGGGAGAUAGCUGGUUCUCCCCGAAAGCUAUUUAGGUAGCGCCUCGUGAAUUCAUCUCCGGGGGUAGAGCACUGUUUCGGCAAGGGGGUCAUCCCGACUUACCAACCCGAUGCAAACUGCGAAUACCGGAGAAUGUUAUCACGGGAGACACACGGCGGGUGCUAACGUCCGUCGUGAAGAGGGAAACAACCCAGACCGCCAGCUAAGGUCCCAAAGUCAUGGUUA
rnacentral:rRNA from 1 species